UUGGACAAUGGGCGCAAGCCUGAUCCAGCCAUGCCGCGUGGGUGAAGAAGGCCUUAGGGUUGUAAACCCCUUUCAGCGGGGAAGAUAAUGACGGUACCCGCAGAAGAAGCCCCGGCUAACUCCGUGCCAGCAGCCGCGGUAAUACGGAGGGGGCUAGCGUUGUUCGGAAUUACUGGGCGUAAAGCGCGCGUAGGCGGACCUGCAAGUCAGGGGUGAAAUCCCGAGGCUCAACCUCGGAACUGCCUUUGAUACUGCGGGUCUCGAGUCCGGGAGAGGUGAGUGGAAUUCCUAGUGUAGAGGUGAAAUUCGUAGAUAUUAGGAAGAACACCAGUGGCGAAGGCGGCUCACUGGCCCGGUACUGACGCUGAGGCGCGAAAGCGUGGGGAGCAAACAGGAUUAGAUACCCUGGUAGUCCACGCCGUAAACUAUGGGUGCUAGCCGUCGGGGAGCAUGCUCUUCGGUGGCGCAGCAAACGCAUUAAGCACCCCGCCUGGGGAGUACGGUCGCAAGAUUA
rnacentral:rRNA from 1 species